rnacentral:rRNA from 1 species
UACAGAGGUGGCAAGCGUUGUUCGGAAUUACUGGGCGUAAAGCGCGUGUAGGCGGCCAGAUAAGUCCGCUGUGAAAUCUCGAGGCUCAACUUCGAGCUGUCGGUGGAAACUGUCUGGCUAGAGUCCGGAAGAGGAGAAUGGAAUUCCUGGUGUAGCGGUGAAAUGCGCAGAUAUCAGGAAGAACACCCGUGGCGAAGGCGGUUCUCUGGGACGGUACUGACGCUGAGACGCGAAAGCGUGGGGAGCGAACAGG